rnacentral:rRNA from 1 species
AACGAACGCUGGCGGCAUGCCUAACACAUGCAAGUCGAACGAGACCUUCGGGUCUAGUGGCGCACGGGUGCGUAACGCGUGGGAACCUGCCCUUAGGUUCGGAAUAACUCCCCGAAAGGGGUGCUAAUACCGGAUAAUGUCUUCGGACCAAAGAUUUAUCGCCUUUGGAUGGGCCCGCGUUGGAUUAGCUAGUUGGUAGGGUAAAAGCCUACCAAGGCGACGAUCCAUAGCUGGUCUGAGAGGAUGAUCAGCCACACUGGGACUGAGACACGGCCCAGACUCCUACGGGGGGCAGCAGUGGGGAAUAUUGGACAAUGGGCGAAAGCCUGAUCCAGCAAUGCCGCGUGAGUGAUGAAGGCCUUAGGGUUGUAAAGCUCUUUUACCCGGGAUGAUAAUGACAGUACCGAGAGAAUAAGCCCCGGCUAACUCCGUG